AAUAGGGUCCCCAGUGCUCCCAGUAAAAGGGAAAUGGGGGAACUGGGAGCCCCAGUAACAGAUCUAUGGGGCAACUGGGACCGCCAGGAAAAGAUAUAUGGGGUAAACUGGGCUACCAAUAAGCAAAAUUCUGACAUAAAUGACCCAAAAACUCAUUUAUGAGGUAAAUAAAGGCCCUAAAUAUCAGAUCUAUGAGGUAAAUUAGGCCUUAUGUGAGAAAAAUUCUGUCAUAAAUGACCCAAAGUGCACUUACGAUGUAAGCAAGAGGCCCAGUAAGAGAUAUAUGAGGUAAACUGGGAUCCUAGUAAGCAGAAUUCAGACAUAAUUCACCAAAAAUCACAUUUAUGAGGUAAAUAAGGCCCCAAAUAACACAUCUGUGAGGUAAACUAGGCCUUAUGUGAGAAAAAAUCUGUCAUAAAUGACCCAAAAUGCACUUCAGAGGUAAGAGAGAGGCCCAGUAAGAGAUACAUGAGGUAAACUGGGAUCCCAAUCACCAAAUUUCUGACAUAAUUCACCAAAAAUCACAUUUAUGAGGUAAAUAAGGGCCUAAAUAACAGAUCUAUGAGGUAAAUUAGGCCCUAAGUGAGGAAAAUUCUAGCAUAAAUGACCCAAAAUGCACUUAUGAGUUAAGUAAGAGGCCCAGUAAGAGAGUUGUGAGGUAAACUGGGCUCCCAGUAAGAGAUAUAUGAGGUAAACUGAGCUCCCAGUCAGCAAAAUUCUGACAUAGUUCACCAAAAAUCACAUUUAUGAGGUAAAUAAGGGCCCAAAUAACAGAUCUAUGAGGUAAAUUAGACCCUAUGUGAGAAAAAUUCUGUCAUAAAUGACCCAAAAUGCACUUAUGAGGUGAGAGGCUCAGUAAGGGAGCUGUGAGGUAAACUGUGCUCCCAGUAAGAGAUACAUGAGGUAAACUGGGCUCCCAGUCAGCAAAUUUCUGACAUAAUUCACCAAAAAUCACAUUUAUGAGGUAAAUAAGGGCCCAAAUAACAGAUCUAUGAGGUAAAUUAGACCCUAUGUGAGGAAAAUCCUGUCCUAAGUGACCCAAAGUGCACUUACUAUGUAAGCAAGAGGCCCAGUAAGAGAUAUAUGAAGUAAACUGGGAUCCUAGUAAGCAGAAUUCAGACAUAAUUCACCAAAAAUCACAUUUAUGAGGUAAAUAAGGGCCCAAAUAACAGAUCUAUGAGGUAAACUAGGCCCUAUGUGAGAAAAAUCCUGUCAGAAAUGUCUCAAAAGUGCACUUAGGAGGUAAAUAGGAGCCCCAGUAAGAGAGCUGUGAGGUAAACUGGGCUCCCAGUAAGAGAUAUAUGAGGUAAACUCAGCUCCCAGUAAGCAAAAAUCUGAUAUAACUCACCAACAAUCACAUUUAUGAGGUAAAUAAAGGCCCAAAUAACAGAUCUAUGAAAUAAAUUUGAUCCUUCAGGAGGAAAACUCUGUCAUAAACGACCCAAAAUGGACUUAUGAGGUAAGUGAGAGGCCCAGUAAGAGAUACAUGAGGUAAACUGGGAUCCUAGUAAGCAGAAUUCAGACAUAAUUCACCAAAAAUCACAUUUAUGAGGUAAAUAAAGGCCCAAAUAACAGAUCUAUGAGGUAAAUUAGACCCCAUGUGAGGAAAAUCCUGUCAUAAAUGACCCAAAAUGCACUUAUGAGGUAAGUGAGAGGCCCAGUAAGAGAGUUGUGAGGUAAACUGGGCUCCCAGUAAGAGAUACAUGAGGUAAACUGGGCUCCCAGUCAGCAAAAUUCUGACAUAAUUCACCAAAAAUCACAUUUAUGAGGUAAAUAAGGGCCCAAAUAAGAGAUCUAUGAGAUAAAUUAAGCAUUAUGUGAGGAAAAUCCUGUCAGAAAUGUCUCAAAAGUGCACUUAUGAGGUAAUUAAGAGGCCCAGCAAGAGAUAUAUGAGGUAAACAGGGAUCCCAGUCAGCAAAAUUCUGAUAUAAUUCACCAAAAAUCACAUUUAUGAGGUAAAUAAAGGCCCAAAUAACAGAUCUAUGAGGUAAAUUAGGCCUUAUGUGAGGAAAAUCCUGUCAUAAGUGACCCAAAAUGCACUUAUAAGGUAAGUGAGAGGCCCAGUAAGAGAGCUGUGAGGUAAACUGUGCUCCCAGUAAGAGAUAUAUGAGGUAAACUGAGCUCCCAGUAAGCAAAAUUCUGAUAUAAUUCACCAAAAAUCACAUUUAUGAGGUAAAUAAAGGCCCAAAUAACAGAUCUAUGAAGUAAAUUUGACCCUAUGGGAGGAAAAUCCUGUCAGAAAUGUCUCAAAAGUGCACUUAUGAGGUAAUUAAGAGGCCCAGUAAGAUAUAUAUGAGGUAAACUGGGCUCCCAGUCAGCAAAAUUCUGACAUAAUUCACCAAAAAUCACAUUUAUGAGGUAAAUAAGGGCCCAAAUAACAAAUCUAUGAGGUAAAUUUGACCCUAUGUGAGGAAAAUCCUGUCAUAAAUGACCCAAAGUGCACUUACGAGUUAAGUGAGAGGCCCAGUAAGAGCUGUGAGGUAAACUGGGCUCCCAGUAAGAGAUAUAUGAGGUAAACUCAGCUCCCAGUAAGCAAAAAUCUGAUAUAACUCACCAACAAUCACAUUUAUGAGGUAAAUAAGGCCCCAAAUAACAAAUCUAUGAGGUAAAUUAGGCCCUAUGUGAGGAAAAUCCUGUCAGAAAUGACCCAAAAUGCACUUAUGAGUUAAGUGAGAGGCCCAGUAAGAGAGCUGUGAGGUAAACUGUGCUCCCAGUAAGAGAUAUAUGAGCUAAACUGGUCUCCUAGUAAGCAAAAUUCUGACAUAAAUGACCCAAAAACACAUUUAUGAGGUAAAUAAGGCCCCAAAUAACAGACCUAUGAGGUUAAUUAGGCCCUGUGUGAGAAAACCCCCACCACAGAAGCCCCAUAAGGCCCAGUGUGGUCAAUGGGCUCCCAUUAACUCAGCCUUAGACCCACGGAGACCCCCGGGAACCCAACAUGACGUCACCGAACGGCCCCCAAAUCCCCUUUUUUGAGCUCAUUCCGAUGCCGGCAAUGCGAUUUUUGAAUGUAUUUCGUAGCGCUGUGAGGUAACGCGGCCUCCCCUUCCCCCCCACCCUCAGCGUGAGGCCUACGCUCCAACCCGGCCUCCCAGUGCGGGCCUGGGGGGGAACACACAGCAAAGCCAACCCCCCCCCCCCCCCAACACCCCGUCCCACAGCAGCCCACAGCACGGAAACAGGAGUUAAAUAGAAAAGAAAAAAUAAGGGUAAAAAGGAGGAAAGAUACCAACCCAACCCCCUCCACACGUACAUAAGGAGCCGCGGUCGGGCCCGGGUGGGGCCGGAACCAUUGCGGGGCUCGCGUAGAAGUGUGUGUGUGGGGGGGGGGGGAGGG
ensembl:lncRNA